rnacentral:rRNA from 1 species
AACGAACGCUGGCGGCGUGCCUAACACAUGCAAGUCGAACGAGAAAGGGGCUUCGGCUCCGAGUAAAGUGGCGCACGGGUGAGUAACACGUAGGUAACCUGCCUCUAAGAUUGGGAUAACCUGUCGAAAGAUGAGCUAAUACCAAAUAAGACCACAGUUUCUUCGGGAACAGCGGCCAAAGGUAGCCUCUAUUUAUACGCUAUCACUUAGAAAUGGGCCUGCGUACCAUUAGCUAGNGGUGAGGUAACGGCUCACCAAGGCAAAGAUGGUUAGCUGGUCUGAGAGGAUGAUCAGCCACACUGGAACUGAGACACGGUCCAGACUCCUACGGGAGGCAGCAGUGGGGAAUAUUGCGCAAUGGGCGAAAGCCUGACGCAGCAACGCCGCGUGAGUGAUGAAGGCC